rnacentral:lncRNA from 1 species
CAGGGUUGUGACCAUAAUGUGGUGGCUUCUCUCCCUUAGGUGGUUUGCCAACUGGGGUUGGUGGCUUGUGUUCUGGGAGUGGCUUCUCCCCCUUGGGAGGUUUUUCCAAUGGGGUUGGUUUGUGUUCAGGAGGUGGCUUCUCCACUGGAGGCUUGUGUUCAGGAGGUGGCUUCUCCACCGGUGGCUUGUGUUCAGGAGGUGGCUUCUCCACCGGAGGCUUAUGCUCUGGUGGUGGCUUCUCCACCGGAGGCUUAUGCUCUGGUGGUGGCUUCUUGAAUGGGGGAUGCUGAGGGUAAUCAGCAAGUGAGGGGGCGGUGAGAACCACCAGGCCAAGCAACACCACUAGCAAAUAUGUAGGAGACAUCUUUGGGUUUGGGCUCAGAUGGUGCAAAACUAGGAGAAUUGGCUAGCCUUUUAUAGCGGAUCGUACUCAAUAAUGAAAUGACACGUGUCAUUAUGACCCAUGUGUAAUGGGGUCGAUUUGGGUCCUACAGUGUUGAAAACUUCGACAUCCAGUUUUGGCCUUUUGCUUUCUCUACAGCCGCCUUGCUUUUUCCCUCUUUCCUUUUGUUUUCCUCCUGCCCCAUUCUAUCAACUAAACACAAUUAUGUAGUUGUUUAAUUCUUAAAUGAGAUAUUAUCGGUCAAUCGUAUUAUAUUUUAUCAAGAGAGAACGGAGUGCAAUGCAGCUGUAAUUUUAUCGUUUACUUUUAUCUCUUGGACCACUGCAUUUUUGUUAAGAGGUGCAAUAAUACACGUCUUUAUCUGCCAUUCAAUGUUUACAGUAAAGAGAGGGCACAAAACUCUUCACUGCUCUGCAUGUGUCCCAAAAAUGCGAUUGGACAAAUUAUGAUUUGCAUGCUAAAAAGAGGCAAAUGAGGUUAAUUCGCACCAUAAUUAUUUGGUUUUCUGGACACCAUAAAAAGAUGUUAUACAGGCAGGGAAAAACCUUCAGAGUUAGCUACCAAAGAUAAUUAUCAAGCAGAUAUCACCAAGAGAAUUCCAUAGAGUCUGAAUCAAAGACAGAUUGCUCGCUCGUGGGGGUUCUUACUUUCUUUUGGGUAUAACUCACUGAGGUCACUGUCUUUUUUAUUUGCAUUUCACAGUUAGAGUUCUGCUCUGGAAGGUUUGUUCUGGAAACAUAUAAAAGGAGCAUCAUUUUGUUCUUGGGUAACCCAUAGUCGUGAGUGGGUCCAUUUGCAUGCUACUUAGUUGAAAAGUUGGACAAUUUGCUCCGACGCCUACCUCCUGGAUUCCAUGCUCGGUAAAACAAGAAUAAAAAAAAAUAUAUAAUUUACAAAUGGGGGAAAGAAAAAAUGUCGGAAAAAAUAGUAAAAUUCAUGUCACAUGCUAGUGAGAGAAGGGGUUGUUACACUCACUCGAAGUUCUUUUCAAAAUAUCGAAUGGUAUUUUACUUUAUGUGUCAGCGCAGUUGUGAAUGGAACGUGCAAAAGUCCAAAUUGGCGUUUUUAUUUUUCCCAUGUAGGAUGGUGACCUUUAAUAAAUAUUUAAAACAAAAGACGAAAAAAAAAAGGAGGGAAAAGGGAUCACAAAAGAUAAAAUAAUGUUUACAAAAGCUCAAUUAGUUUGCAAAUUACUGUUUGGAUUUUGAUAGUAUUUUAUUUGUCGUUCUAUAUUUGAUGUAAAAGAGAAUUUAAGAUAUUUCCGAAGCAAAAGCAUUAGUUUGCUCUGUGAUGUCCCACAUCGAAUAGGGGAGAAAGUUUCUGGCGCUAUAUAUGUAGAGGCUCCUCUUAACCAAGUAGAUGCGUUUUAAAACCAUGAGGGCCCCCUUAGGUCCAAAGCGGACAAUAUCUACAUGAUUGGGUGUAAGUCAUUACAAAUGGUAUCAGAGCCGAUCCCCGACCCCGGUGUGGGGGUUUGUUUGGCCCUGUAAGGGGUGUUUGUCUGUUUGACCCCACAAUCCCAUGGGACACAACGAGGACGUUGUGUCUGCAUGGGGGGGCGUUUGUGAUGUCCCACAUCGGAUAGGGGAGAAAGUUCCUAGUGCUAUAUAUGUAGAUGUUUCUCUUAACCAAGUAGAUGCAUUUUAAAAUUGUGAGGGCCUCUUUGGGCCCAAAGCGGACAAUAUCUACAUGGUUGAGUGUAAGUCAUUACAUGCUCCAUGUCAAUUUCAGCAUUUCUCAUAUGUUUCACACAUACACAGAAGAGCAUCGUUUUUUAAAGCAUGCAUUUAUGUUGGAUUAAUUUGGAUUUUGUGGGAACUGGGGCAAGGAUCACAUGGAAGAGAGGUUGACUUUUUUCAGUACUUCAAUGGUUGAAAUAUGUGAAGGCUUGAUUGAUACUAAAGCUUGAAAUUGCGACUCUGUCAUUUGUAAAAAAAUAUGACAGCUUCCAUGCUCUCGUUUGGUUGCAUUGUCCGGUCGAGAGGUGCAAAAAGCAUUCUCUCUCUUCUAAUAGUCUUUUCGUUUAAAUCAAGGGAUUUGCCUUCCCGGUCGAGGUCCAAUAGAGGGUAACGGUCACCUACUAAACAUUAAAUGCUCCAACAACUAGUGAACUGAUCGACCCCAGCUCGACUAGUUGAGGUUACUUUUUGGUUUUCUUGUCUCCCGAGGUUAGAAACCUAUAAAUAGAGAGCUUCACUUCAUUUAUGAGUAAGAGAACACCUAAAUUUAUUUGUUUACCUACUUGUUUUUGCCAUAAAAGCUCUCAUUUCUUUUCUUGGUGUAUUAAAUCUCCAUUUGCAUAUCCUUUAGUGCACCUUUGUGAUUCAUUCUAGCCUUGAGUUGUAUUUAAGCCUUUGUUGAGCUAGGUUGAGAGUUUCAUACUUGUUUAUUGAGUGUUAAAGCCUUCAAGUGAGUUAAAACUUGAAGAGAUUGUGUAAGAGCCCAUUGGAGUCGGAAUCCAAGUGUAAAGGUGAUUAAAAGCUUGGUUGAAGCUUCAAGUUAGUGGAACUCUCACUCGGUUAUGAGCUUGAGAAGAGUGGACAUAGACAAGGCAGUGUCGAACCACUAUAAAAUCUGAGUUUGAUUUCUCUAACCUUAUCUCUUUAUAUUUGCUUCUCUUGUGCUUAAAUUUUUUGUGUUUAAAAAGAAUUUUUAAAAACUCAAUUCACCCCCUUCUUGGGAGUUUUUCUCUUUUAAGAUCAGCUUUUAUUUUCUCAAUUGGUAUCAGAACUAUGCCUCUUGUUUAAGACUUAAUCGUCUAAGAGGAAAUGGCUAAUCCAUCAAGUUCAUCUCACAUUGAAAGUUUUGCAACCAAUAGACUUCUUUUUUUUUUUUUGCGGGAACUGAUUAUCCCUAUUGGAAAACUAAAAUGACUUGGUUUUUACAAUCAAUUGAUUUAGAUGUAUGAGAUGCCAUUGAAGAUGACCUAACUUUUCCUUCAAAACUAGUUGAUGGAGUCAUGGUUCCAAAACCUAAGCAAGAAUGGGAUGAGCGUGAUUGAAGAAAUUUUCAAUUAAAUGCUAAAGUCGUUUAUACUUUGCAAUGCUCUAUGGACAGAAAUGAAUAUAAUAGAAUAUGUCAAUGCAAAUCGGUUAAAGAAAUUUGGAGAUUGCUUGAAAUAACUCAUAAAGGAACAAAUCAAGUUAAAGAGUCAAAAAUCAAUUUACUUGUUCAUAGAUAUGAAUUGUUUUUUAUGAAAGAUAAUGAAACUAUUGUUAAGAUGAUCACUAGGUUCACCAACAUUGUUAAUGGUCUUAAAGCCUUGGGAAAGACCUACAAGGAAUCCGAAAACGUGAUGAAGAUCUUGAGGUCACUUCCAUCAAAGUGGCAUACCAAGGUCACCGCAAUUUAAGAAGCAAAAGACUUGAUCAAGCUACCUUUGGAGGAGUUCAUAGGGUCAUUGAUGACAUAUGAAAUCAAUUUGGCAAAGAAGUAACAAAAAGGUGAAGACAAAAAGAAGAAGAACAUAACUCUCAAAGCUACAACUAAGGAAGAAGAAGUUGAAGAAGAAAAACAAAUUGAAGAAGAUGAAGAUUUAGCCCUCAUCACAAGAAAGUUCAACAAAUUCAUGAGGGGUGAAAGGUUUAGAAGAAGAAGGUUCACUUCUAGAAGAGACUUUUCUAAAAAGGAAUCUUCAUCUAAUGGUGACAAAAAGAGAUGGGAAGAGAAAAGAGACUUGGUGUGUUUCAAGUGCAAGAAACCGGGACACAUUAAAUAUGAUUGUCCUCUCUACAAAAGUGAAGUCAAGAGGAAAAAGAAUAAGGCAAUGAUGGCCACUUAGAGUGAAAGUGAAGAUGAAUCAUCCGAAGAAGAAAAUGAGAAAGAAGUGGCAAACAUGUGUUUCAUGGCAAUAGAUGAACUUGAUGAGGUAAAAUCUAACCUUAGUGAUUAAGAUAUACAUGAUGCAUUUGAAGAAUUGUAUGAGGAUUUUUAAAAACUUAGUUUGAAAAAUAUUUCUCUUAAAAAGAAAGUUCAACAACUUGACAAAGAACUUAGAGAAGUAAAAGAAAAAUUUUCAAAUGUUAAAGUUUCUAAAACUCAUCUUGAAAAAGAAAAUGAGAUUCUAAGAAAGAAAAAUGAAUAGUUGAACUCCUCUCUUUCAAUCUUUUCUUCUAGACAAAAAUCUUUUGAAAUGAUUCUAACUAGCUAAAAAUGUGUUUUUGACAAACAAGGGUUAAGAUUUAAAUCUUCAAAAAAUCAAAAGUAUUUUAAAAACUAUUUUGUAAAGGAAUCCACAAGUGCAAGUCCUUCCACUACUUGCAACUUUUGUGGAAGAGAAUGGCACAUUAGUAGUACGCCCUUUAAGAAAUGGUUCUCAAAAGAAUUUAAAUGCAAAAACUAAAAAAGAUUUGGAUUGAGAAAUCCAAGGUCACUAACCCUCAAGGACCCAAAAAGAUAUAGGUACCUAAAUCAACUUGAGUUUUAUGUUGUAAGGUUCAAAGAAUGAUAAGUGGUUCUUAGAUAAUGGUUGCUCAAGACACAUGACCGGAGAUGAAUCCAAGUUUGCUUUUCUUAAAAAGAAAAAUGGAGGAUAUGUUACCUUUGGAGACAAUGCAAAAGAAAGGAUGAUUGGUCAAGGCAACAUUGGUAAUGGCACAUCCUCUCUCAUUGAAAGUGUUUUAUUAGUAGAUGGUUUCAAACAUAACCUUUUAAGCAUUAGUCAAUUUUGCGACAAAGGUUUUUAAGUGAUUUUUUAAGCAUCUCAUUGCAUCAUCAAGGAUAUUCAAAAUGAUAAAACCAUUUUCAUGGGCCAUAGAUGUGAUAAUGUUUAUGCUAUAAAUAUUUCAAAAUAUGAUGGCCAUGAUAGAUGUUUUUCAAGCAUGCAUGAUCAAAGUUGGUUGUGCCAUAGGAGAUUGAGACAUGCUAACAUAGACCUCAUUUCCCAACUCAACAAAGAUGAACUUGUUAGAGGCCUUCCCAAAAUAAUUUUUUAAAAAGAUAAAGUUUGUGAAGCUUGUCAAGUGGGAAAGUAAAUCAAAAACUCUUUUAAAAACAAAAACUUCAUUUCCACAUCUAGGCCACUUGAGUUGUUGCAUAUGGAUUUAUUUGGUCCCUCUAGGACACCAAGUCUUAGAGGAAAUUCUUAUGCAUAUGCUAUUGUGGACGACUUCUCUAGAUACACAUGAGUCUUGUUUUUUAGUCAAAAGAAUAAAGUUUUUUAUGAGUUUUCAAAGUUUUGCAAUAAGAUUCAAAAUGAAAAAGGUUUUUCAAUUACUUAUAUAAGAAGUGAUCAUGGGAGAGAAUUCGAAAAUAUUGAUUUUGAAGAGUAUUGCAAUGAGCAUGGAAUUGACCACAAUUUUUUGGCUCUUAGAACUCCUCAACAAAAUGGGGUAGUUGAAAGGAAAAAUAGAACUCUUCAAAAAAUGACAAGAACCAUACUAAAUGAAAACAACUUACCAAAAUAUUUUUAGGCCAAAACGGUUAACACUUCUUGUUAUGUUUUAAAUAGAGUAUUAUUGAGGCUCAUACUUAAGAAAACUCCCUAUGAGCUUUGGAAAAACAAAAAACCCAACAUUAGUUAUUCCAAAGUCUUUGGAUGCAAUAUUUUAUAAUAAACACCAAAGACAAUCUUGGAAAAUUUGAUGCAAAAUUGGAUGUUGGAAUUUUCCUUGGUUACUCAACUUCAAGUAAAGCUUUUCGAGUUUUAACAAAAGAACCAUGGUUGUAGAGGAGUCCAUCCAUGUUAUUUUUUAUGAAUCUCCAAGAAAGAGAGAGGAUUGAUGAUGAUUUAGGUUUGAAGACCUCUAUAGGAAGAUUGCAAAUCGAAGAUAGAAGACAACAAGAAGAAAAUGGAGAGAAUCCAAAGAAAGAAGGAUCACCAUUGGCACUACCCCCUCAUCAACAAGCGCAAGGUGAAUCAAGUCAAGAGCUUCCUAAAGAAUGGAAGUUUGUCAUCAAUCACCCACAAGAUCAAAUUAUAGGCAAUCCAUCUAGUGGGGUAAGAACUAGAUCCUCUCUUAGAAAUAUUUGCAAUAAUCUAGCUUUUAUCUCUCAAAUUGAGCCUAAAAAUAUAAAUGAUGUUUUAGAUGAUGAAAAUUGGAUAAUUGCAAUGCAAGAAGAGUUAAAUCCAUUUGAAAGAAGUGGAGUAUGGGAAUUAGUACCAAGACCUUCAAAUCAAAGUGUUAUUGGAACUAGAUGGAUCUUUAGAAAUAAAAUGGAUGAAAAUAGCAUAAUUGUUAGAAAUAAAGCAAGAUUGGUAGCCCAAGGUUUUAAUCAAGAAGAAAUGAUAGAUUAUGAAGAAACCUUUGCCCCCGUAGCUAGGUUGGAAGCCAUUAGGAUGCUACUUGCCUUUGCAUGUUUUAAAGACUUUGUUUUAUAUCAAAUGGAUGUGAAAAGUGCUUUUUUAAAUGGUUUUAUAAAUGAAGAAGUAUAUGUUGAACAACCACCCGGUUUUCAAAGUUUCAACUUUCCUAACCAUGUUUUUAAACUUAAAAAGACACUUUAUGGUUUGAAACAAGCACCUAGAUCAUGGUAUGAAAAAUUGAGUAAAUUUCUUUUGAAAAAAAUGUUUUAAAAUGGGAAAAAUUGACACAACUCUUUUUAUAAAAACCAAAGAAAAUGAUAUGCUCUUAGUUCAAAUAUAUAUUGAUGAUAUCAUUUUUGGUGCUACUAAUGUCUCUCUUUAUGAAGAAUUUUCUAAGUGCAUGCAUAGUGAGUUUGAAAUGAGCAUGAUAGGAGAACUCAACUUCUUCCUUGGACUUCAAAUCAAGCAACUAAAGGAAUGAACCUUCAUCAAUCAAGCAAAGUAUAUAAGAGAUCUUCUCAAAAGGUUCAACAUGGAAGAAGCCAAAACAAUGAAGACUCUAAUGAGCUCAUCCAUUAAGCUUGAUAAGGAUGAGAAAGGUAAAUCCAUUGACUCUAUUAUGUAUAGAGGCAUGAUAGGUUCUUUGCUCUAUUUGACCACUAGUAGACCUUACAUUAUGUAUAGUGUGUGUUUGUGUACUAGAUUUCAAUCUUGUCUUAAAAAAUCUCACUUAAGUGUCGUGAAAAGAAUCCUCAAAUAUUUGAAAGGGACAAUGGACAUAGGCUUAUGGUAUCCUAAGAGUGAUAACUUUGAAUUAAUUGGUUUUUUGGAUGCUGAUUUUGUCAGUUGUAGGGUUGAAAAAUAAAACACUAGUGGCACUUUUCAUUUCUUAAGACACUUACUUGUCUCAUGGCAUAAUAAGAAGCAAAAUUUGGUAGCUUUGUCAACAGCAGAAGCUAAAUACAUAGCAACUGGUUUAUGUUGUGCACAAAUCCUUUGGAUGAAAUAAACACUUAGUGAUUUUGAUUUAUCUUUUGAGCAUAUUCCUAUUAAAUGUGAUAAUAGUAGUGCCAUAAGUAUAUCAAAAAAUCUCGUGCAACACUCUAGGACUAAGCAUAUAGAGAUUAGACAUAAUUUUCUUAGAUAUCAUACACAAAAGGAUGAUAUAACACUUGAAUUUGUAAGCAUAAAAGACCAACUUGCCGAUAUCUUUACAAAACCUCUAAGAACAUUUUGUUGAUAUUAGAGGACAAUUAGGAGUGAUUUCUUUAUGAUCUAAUGUGAUGAAUUCUUGAUGAAUAUACUUUUUGAUUGCAUGAAUUUCAUGUCAUAUAUGCAUCAUAUAGAAAUAUACUUAGAUAAUGGUCAAAUUUCGACCAAAAAUCAAAAUUCCCAUGGCAUUAGGCAUAAAAAUUUUGGAAUUUCAACUGAAAAUGGUAGGAGGAGGAUCACAAAAUGAGAAAGUAUGCAAAAAUUGAAAAAUCAAAACGUUGACCAAGCGGUCAAUCGGACUAGACCGAUCGACUAGUUUGUCGAGAUUUAGGAUUUUUAAGAGACUCCAACGCUUCAAUUUUUGCACCGUUCUCCUCUAUUUCUUCACGGUUUCUCUGAUUUUGUCUUUUAGAGACUAAUUUGAGUGCGUUUUGGAUCAAUUGAAGCAUUUUGGAUUGGAUUUUAGGAAGAUUGAAAGUUAAGGUUUCGGAUUUGGGUCGCCUUCUCUUCCUCUCGCGUGUCACAAUCAGCUUUAGCAUUGUUCUCUUUCCAUUUUCACACACCUAGGGUUUCAGUUGUGAGCAUCUCUCUCUCUUUACCAACCACUACUCCCUUGCUUCUUCCAUAUGGCUCCUAGGCGAGAGUCCGCUACUUCUAGGGCACAAGGCAAGCACCCAACUGAGUCGUCUCAGUCAAAGGCACGUCGAAAAGUGAGAUUUGACAUUGCCUUGUUCAGUUCCAUGGAGGACUACCAACUAUACAAGCAACACUUUGCUUAGAGACGAGUAGUUCCCAAGAGAAAUAUUAAUUUUCCUCAACUUCAGCAUUUCGAAUUUAAGGGUCUAUUUACUAGGAUGGUUGGUUGUCUAUUGUCACAAUUUCGGAGCCGGUUUUCCUGACCUUAGUGCGAGUUUUUUACUCGAGGGCGACUUAUGGCAUGGGUGGCAUGAUCAUUUCUACUGUUGGAGGAGUUGAGAUCUGUCUGGACCCAGAGAGCAUCUGCCAUAUUUUCGAUAUUGCUCUGGUUGGACUCAAAGUAUACAAGUCCAAAAUGUGGCCCAUUGUGCCAGGAUUUGAGCUUAGAGAGGUCAUUCAGAGGAUUUGUGAACUUCCAGACGCCCAGGAGAUGGGCAAACCAUUGCCACACAGUUUGACGGUCAUCAACAGGGUGCUACACCAUAUAUUGUGCUCUAUCUUUCUACCACGAAGUGGACAUUGAGAUGAGGUCUCUUAUUAUGAGGCAUUCCUUAUUGACUCCAUUCUAACGGAGAGACGAAUUCAUCUACUAUGUCAUCAUUCACUAAGCCUCCUCACAGUGACAUACCACCUCAUCAGGCACCUCUUGCUCCUGACCAUGCUCCAUUGAUGGAUUUAUUUACUCAUAUUAGCUCUCUAGGCACUCGCAUGAAGGAGUUUGUUGUAGUUAGUGAUACAUGGUUCUACUCCAUAGAGGAUCGCAUGGAUCAGUAUCAGACUGGCUUCACGUCACAGUUUGAGUAUCUCCAAUAGAGGAUUGAGCAUAUUGAGGAUCACUUGAGCAUGAGAAGAUGAUGGCUUUUCUAUGCUCUGUGUUUCCACCUCCACCUCGUCAACCUUGAUUUCUUAGAGACCCAUUGUUUUCAUUUUGUAAUGUUGCCAAAAGGGGGAGAUAUUUAGGAUCUAGGACUCUAUAGGAGACUUACAUGCAUAUCAUUUUCAUAUCAUUGUUUGGAUCGUACAUAUUGGAUAGUGAUACUUUUUACUUAUAUAUGAUAUGCCUAUAUGUUUCAUGUCUUACAUUGUUUCUUAUUGCAAAUUAUCUCUAACAUGUCUUGAUUAUCUUUUUUUUAACUUCAUAAAUUUUGAUUGUUAACCCAUGAUUGGUUUGAGGGGAAGAUUCUUCUUCUCCUAGAUAACCAAGGUUUGUCAUCAUAAAAAAAUUGGAGAUUGUUAGCCCAAGGGUUCUCCUAAUCAUGUUUUGAUGAUAACAAACCAUGCUUAAGUUACUAAUUGGUUUGAAUUAUAAAGAAUUUCAAGUGUUAAUUUGAAAAUUCAUCAAAGAACCUAAUGGAUGCAAGAUCAAGAUUUUUGGAAGACCUUUAAUCAUAAGAAACAUAUGUAAGAUGAAUGCAUGGGUGCACUUAAGAUUUGCAUAUCAUUUCAUGCAUAUUUGGAAAACACGGUUUAUGCUUUAAAGUUACAUUUCCAUCAAAAUUUGAGAUCCAUCAAAUGAACCUUAGGAAAAAUGUUUUAAAAUUGGCAUAUAAUUUUACCUAAAGACCUUGCCUAAGUGUUAGAAGCAAAAGGACAAAAAAAAUAUAGGUUUUCUGGUCAAAAAUGGUGAACCAGUCAAGGCAUUGUCUAAAUCAGCUCAAUCGGCCAAGGUACCGGUCGAUCGGUUUCCCUUUCCCUGUCGAGAUCUAGUCAAGAGGUACAAAAAUCACAAUCUCUGUCUCUUUCUCUCUUUGUCUAUCUUCCAGUAGUCUUUCCUUCCCGGUCGAGGGAUUUGCCUUCCCGAUUGAGGUCCGAUUGAGAGUAAUAGUCACUUGCCAAAUAUUAAAUGCUCCAACAGUUAGUGAACUGGUCGACCCCCACCUUGCCCAGUUGAGGUUACUUUUUGGUUUUCUUGGCUCCCGAUGUUAGAAACCUAUAAAUAGAGAGUUCCACUUCAUUUAUGAGCAAGAGAACACUUGCAUUUAUUUGUUUACCUACUUGUUCUUGCCUUAAAAGCUCUCAUUUCUUUUCUUGGUGCAUUAAAUCUCCAUUUUGAUAUCCUUUAGUGCACCUUUGUGAUUCAUCUUAGCCUUGAGUUGUAUUUGAGCCCUUUUUUUAGCUAGGUUGAGAGUUUCAUACUUGUUAAUUGAGUGUUAAAGCCUUCAAGUGAGUUGAAACUUGUAGAGAUUAUGUGAGAGUCGAUUGGAGCCGAAAUCCAAGUGUAAAGGUGAUUAGAAGCUUGGUUGAAGCUUCAAGUUAGUGGAAUCCUCACUCAAUUAGGAGCUUGAGGAGAGUGGACGUAGCCAAGGAAGUGUCGAACCACUAUAAAAUUUGAGUUUGAUUUCUCUAACAUUGUCUCUUUAUAUUUGUUUAUCUUGUGCUUAAAUUUAUUGUGUUUAAAAAGAAUUUUUAAAUACCCAAUUCACCCCCCUCUUGGGUGUUUUUCUCUUUUAAAAUUAGCCUUUAUUUUCUCACAAACUAUUGUAGUAUAGUGGUUUUUAGGUGUCAUCCAUUAGGAUGAAUUGUUCUCGGUAAUUAAGGCGUGAAUGAGAGGAGAAUUAAUGAUUGUGAUUAAGUAAAAUUGAUUUGAAAAUUCAUGGUGAAAAAUCAAUUUAACAAUGGUUUCUAAUUGAGAAAAACAAUGAAAUGUGAAAUAAAAUAAAAUUAAUAGGAAAUGAAAUUCUCGAAGUUAGAAUUUUCUAAAAAACAAAUUCCAUGGUGAAUGGAUGUUGAGAUCUAAUUUUCAUCAAGUUAGAUUGAAAACCGAAAUUUUCAUAUAAACUGAUUUUUUAUUUAGUUUUAGGUCUAGAUUUAAUUUCCCUUAAAAUUAGGUUAUUUAAUCCAAGAAAUCAAUUCAAAUCAUAUAUUCAAUUCAUCUUAAAUUAUCUUCCAAUUAUUCACACAAUGCAACUAUUCAAUCUCAUCAAAUCUAGCUUUUAAGAAUUUAAUGAAUCUACCUAGUUUGCAUUGUAAUAGUCAUCCAUGACAAUUUGAAGAGAAAAAUAAUUCAAUUAAUCAAUCACUUGGAUCAAAUUACCUUUGCAAUUAAAGUUCAUUUCUCUAAUUCACCACAGAUUUUGUCUCUAGAUCCUCCUUUCUCAAAGAAAAAUGAGAUUUAGCCACACAUGAUUGGAGAUUUGGUCUCAUAAGGCAUGUUUAGCUAGUGAUAAAAUGAGAGAAAAUAAAGAAAAAUAGAGAAUUCGAUUAAGAAAGAAAAUCUAAAAAAUUCUACAAUUAGAAAUGUCCAAAAAGCUUUUUCAUGAGAAAAUCAAGUUUCUAUUUAUAGGCCAAGGUCAAGUGGACACUUGACAUCAUCUAAGAGGUCUUCCGGAAGCUUCUUCAUCAAGAAAUCUGGAGUUUAAUAAUAAAAUGGUCAUUUCACAAGAGCUCAAACAAUUUCGCAUGAUUAUGUGAAAUAAAAAAUGCAACAACAGCAAUUUACAUCUUCUUGGAGCAUUUCGCAUGACUGUGUGAAAUUUUCACAUGAUCAUGUGGAAUCGACUUGACAACUCUCAUUUAGCCUACAACAUAAUUCCACCUUUUGGUCCAUUUUUCAUAGUCAUGCGAAAUGGAAAUAUUUGAUUUUUAAGUUUUCUUUUGUCAUUUCUUUCAUUUCCUUCUCUUGAUUCCACUUCAACUACCUCCGAAUCCUGGUCCAAACCAAUUGCAUUACUUCUUUCAUUAUGCAUUUGGAUCAUCAUCAACAUUAUUUGUUCUCUUCAAUUUGAUUCAUCUCUUUUGUCACCAAUUUAUCAAAAUCAUACCUUGAAAUGACUCCAAAACUUCAUAAAACUUGUUAGUAACUCUUGCAAGGGCAACAACAUAUUAAUUAAGUGUUUUAGGCAUAGUUACUACUCAAAAGAUGCGAAACUCAUGAUAAUUAUUAUAUAAAAUAUGCUCUUUUUGAGUAGUAAUCAACUUUCUUGCAUAAGCAGACCUUUUAGGGUGGAGUACUAAAGACCAAUAUGCUUGUCCUUGUUGUAAUAAAGAAACUUGCUCUUAUUGAUUGCACCAUGGGAGAAAAUUUUGCUACAUGAGUUAUCAUCAAUUUCUUCCCACCAAUCAUAGAUUUAGACGUGACAAGAGGCCUCUUAAUGGCAAGGAGGAACUGACACUCACACUUAUACAAUUAUCGGGCAUUGAUGUGUUGCAACAAUUAGAAUAACUUACACCAAUUAUGUUGGGGAAGUCACAAAAGGCAAACAUGAAAACUAAAAGGAAAAAAGAAAAAUGUUACAUAUCACCACAACUGGAAAGAAAAAAGUAUUUACUUUCAUUUGCCAUAUUGGAAAGCACUUAUUUUACAUCAUAAUAAUUUAGACAUAAUGCAUAUUGAGAAAAAUGUGUGACAAUAUAAUUGAGACAUUGUUCAGUAUUGACGAAGAAACAAGGACAACCUAAAUAGUCAUCUCGAUUUACAAGCUCUAACUAUUAGAAAUGAGAUUCACCCAAUAGAAAGCAGGACCAAAUUUAUUUUGCUUGCAACAUGCUACUCACUCACCCCAAAUGAGAUUAAGGAAUUUUGCAAGUUUUUGAAAUCAAUAAAGGUCCCCAAUGGCUAUUCUUUCAAUAUCUCUCGUUAUGUGCAACUCAAUGAAAGGAAGAUAUAUGAGCUCAAAUUGUAUGAUUGUCAUGUCCUAAUGCAACAACUUCUCUCACUUGUAGUUCGUGGAGUUCUACAUAAGAAUGUUUGUGGAGUUAUCAUAGAAUUGCGUAAUUUUUUCAAGCAAUUGUGCUCAAAGGUGUUAGAAACAAAUCACUUACACCAACUUGAGAACAAUAUUAUUGUCAUACUAUGUAAAAUGGAGCAAAUAUUUCUUCCAUCAUUCUUUGAUAUUAUGGUGCAUUUACUUGUGCAUCUAGUAAGGCAAAGGUUGCAAGACUUGUGCAAUAUUGUUGGAUGUACCUAAUUGAACGAUAUUGUUAUAAUUUCAUAUGAAUCAUUUAAUUUUAUUUUAUAUUAUGUUCAGUUCAUUAACAUGUACAUUGGUCUACAUAUGGAUGAUGAUAGGUACCUAAGCACUUUAAAGUCAUAUGUGCGUAAUAGAACUUUUCUAGAAGGUUCUAUUGUAGAAAGGUACCUUGCAAAAGAAUGUACAACAUUUUAUUCUAGGUACUUGAAUGAUGUGGAAAUAAAGUAUAAUCACAAUGAUAGAAACUUUGUUGGUUUCAACACUAGAGGAGAUGAAAGGGGUUAUCUUUAAACAUAUUGGACAUGCAUUGGGAAAGCCCAUAUUUCAUUAACUUAGUUCAAAAGAGUGGUCACAAGCACAUUUAUAUGUGUUGACAAAUUGCGAAGAUGUCAUACCAUUCAUUGAGUAAAAAAUUUAUUUGAAUUUUAAUUAAAGCUCUAGUUUAUAUCCUUAAUCAAUGUUUUUUAAAUUCACAAGGAGCACAAGCAAACCAUCAAGGCUAGACCACAUAUACGUGUUUGAGACGUAGAUUUAAUUCAUAACAAGGAAUUUAUCAAGUGGUUUGAAAGACAUGUAAGUAUAUUCCUUAUUAUAAGGGAUUUAUUUCACAUUAUGUUUAUAUUGAAUCCAAACCUAUUAUUGAAUUGUAGGUUGAACAAUUACAUAAUGAAGGUCAUAUAUCUGAACACCUUCUCACAUUAUCAUGUGUUCCAAAUUCAUUAGUUACAUGCUUCAAAUGAUAUAUUGUCAAUGGAUUUAGAUCCCACAUUAAAGAACGUGAUAAAAAAGUUUUUAAAAAAAGACUCAGAAUAAUGGAAUUGUUGUAGUUGCAAAAACGUCAAGCUUUACAAGUGCAUGUGAUAUGAGUCCAAUUAUUAGUGAUGCUCUCUACUAUGGUGUUCUAACUAAAGUUGUUGAGUUACAUUAUCUUGGUGAAAAUAAGGUUGUUUUAUUCGAGUUUGAUUGGUGGGAUGUUACAAAUAUUGGAAAAUUGAUAAAAGAUGAUGAGUACAAUUACACAUUUGUUAACUUUGCAUGAAUUCUAACCACGAACGAACGAUUUGUACUUGCAUCUCCAGCAAAGUAAGUGUUCUAUGUGAAGAAUGCGAAUGAAUCAGAUUGGCAUACUAUCAUGGAGAUGCAACCUCAAGACCUCUAUAAGAUGAACGGGAUAGGAUCCAAUGGUGAUUUUGAACCAUUUCAACAAAGUGAACUACAUGAUCACUAAUAUAUCUCAGAUUUAGUUGAUGAAGAUAUAAUCAAGUGGAACAAAAGUGAUGUUUUAGGACUAAUCAUCCUAAAAAAUAUUGUAGUUUCUUAAAAAAAAAAUGAAAAUGAAGAAGAUAAUUGAACCUUUGUCAUACUUUAAAAAGCAACUAUGCAUUGUUCAUUUUGUAUGUUUUGGUUUUCUUCAUUUAAUUUCCUGAUUUUUGUGAUUCAAUGUCAUAUUAUUGAUCUUGAAAUAUUUUUCUAAUUUUUCAUUCUACGAUGGUUUCAACAAGGAUGACAUCAAGUCAAAAAAGGAAAUGUGGUCCCACACACAAUAUUGCAUUACAGGGAUUAAGGUCAGGGAAGAAGGUAAAAGUUGCAUUUAAUGAGUACAAUCAAUUGGUUAAACAGAAAAAUGGAAAACACUUAUCGAGCUACAUAGGGACACUUGUAUCUAACCAACACAAUGUACCUCUCCAAGCUAGUGAUUGGAAAAAUGUUCCAAAUGAUGCAAAAGAGAAAGUAUGGCCUUUGUUUUGGUAUGUUGUAUUUCUCACUAUAUGAUGUCAUUUCACUGUUAUUCUAUUUUGUGACUAACGUUUGAAUCAUAUGUAAGAAAAAUUUGAAGUAGAUAAAGACUGAAAAGAUUACAUGUUGGGUAUAGCCUCAAAUAAAUAUAGAAGCUAUAAAAAUAUGAUGAAUGCAAAAUACUAUGACCCUUGGCAUAAGGAUGCAUGAGGAGAGGUUAAUACAUAAAUCACCAUUUGUCUCUGAUGUUGAUUGGAAGUGGCUUGUCUCUGAUGCAUAAACCAAAUCCCCCACUGAAUGUUUGAUAUUUGAUAGCAGGAAAAACACACCCGCAGCUAUACACCUCCAUCAUUCAGAUAAUUAUAGUGGGGGAGAUGAUUCAUGGUUGCCCUUAUACCCUUUAUUUGCACCAUCUAUUGAGAUUCUUUAUCAUGGCCAGGUUUUACUGCAGCAAUAAGAUAUGGUGGCAACAAUUUUAUCUAUAGGUGCGGUUCCAGACCGCCUCCAUAGGUGCGGUUCCUGACUGCCUCCAUAGGUGCCUCUUCUUGUAAUGUUUGUUCUGGGAAUUACACUUGAAAGCCUUAUCGUGAUAAGGGAUUACAAACACUAGUUCAGAGGACAGCCAUGUUAAACUUCCACUAUGUUUGUGUCACAUUAUCAGCAGCCUAGUGUUUAUUGGUCAUGCUAUCUGCAACUAAUAUAACCCGGUGAACUUCAAUCUAAAUUCUGAAAGUACUCAUGUGACAGAUGGUGCCUUUCAGCAGAUAUCAUCAAUUUAAAAGUAGUGUGUGUGCCUAUAGGUGGGAAGGCCUUGGCAAAUGUUCAGUAUUCCGGUAAUUCAAGAAGGAUAUAUCUAAAAUAGAUUUUCUUCUUGCCCAUUUCAAUAGUUAAAAUUUGAGAAGAUUGUGUCCACAUCACACAAAUAUUAUUGGUCCUUCUGUUGCAAUUUACCUCUGAACAUGUCUUCCAAUUCCCACGGUCCUGUUACUCCAGGAAAACUAUUUCGGUCAUAUUGAAAAAAAAAAUAUUAAAGAAGGUACACAUGCUUUUAAGUGGACUGGGGCAUUCAUAUCAGGUGGUCUGUAUCCACAUAUGCCACUUCGUGAAAGGUGGAACAGCCUAAUCACUAGGCUAUUUAGUGUGGCCCAGCCACGUUAAUCAAGCACAAGUCUUCAUACUUAAAGUCAAAUGGUGUCUUUAGUCUCAUUACACAUCGCUAUUUGAAGAUUAACUCAUCACUAGUGUAAUGCGAUUAAGACAGUCCUAACUCAAUAUUUGUUCUAGUUUUGGAUGCAAAUGCUUGCUGGUUUCAUCAUUGGAUGGGAUAAAGGUGCAAUCAGGACUAUGAAUACGUGCAGUAAUACUUCAUUCUCUUUUUUCUCAAUGAGACUUCUUGGCACAAUUUUGCUGCUCAGCAACCUACCUUUCCAUGGAAAAUCAGUUGUGACUGAUAGUAAUGGAUAUAUUCUAGAAAGCUAAACAUAGAUAGCAUUCAAUAUUAUCGAUAUAACAUUAACAGCGUAUGUCUCAAUGCUCAUCAGCUACAAGCAAUGGACAAACACUUUGAGUAACUCACAGCAGUCAAAAUUCCUAAACAGGACAGACGUGACAGAUCUAUAUAUAGAACACUGCAUAUGAGUCACAGGAAAAGAUAAUACGGGUACAUAGAAGCUCUUAUUUUACAUAUUACUCAUACUGAUCAAAGUCGCUCAGUUGGGAUGGAUGGGAGAAGGAGGUUUGAGGGGUGGCUUGUGCGGGGAAGUUGGCAGCUUCUUUCCGGGAGCUGGUUGCUUCUUUGCUGGAGUUGAAGGAGGCUUAAUCUUCCGAGGUGGCUUGUAUGAGUCUUCAGCAUUCUCAGCAGGAGGGUGACCAGGGUUGUGACCAUAAUGUGGUGGCUUCUCUCCCUUAGGUGGUUUGCCAACUGGGGUUGGUGGCUUGUUUUCUGGGAGUGGCUUCUCUCCCUUGGGUGGUUUGCCAACUGGGGUUGGUGGCUUGUGUUCUGGGAGUGGCUUCUCCCCCUUGGGAGGUUUUUCGAAUGGGGUGGGUUUGUGUCCUGGUGGUGGCUUCUCUCCCUUGGGAGGUUUACCAAUUGGGGUCGGUGGCUUGUGUUCUGGGAGGGGCUUCUCUCCCUGGGGAGGUUUAGUGGGUGGCUUGUGUUCUGGAGGUGGCUUCUCCACCGGAGGCUUAUGCUCUGGUGGUGGCUUCUCGAAGGGGGGAUGCUCAGGGUAAUCACCAAGUGAGGGGGUGGUGAGAACCACCAUGCCAAGCAACAACACUAGCAAGUAUGUAGUAGACAUCUUUGGGUUUGGACUCAGACAGUGCAAAACUACGAGAAAUCGCUAGCCCUUUAUAGCGGCUCGGACCUAAUACUGACAUAAUAUAAAAUAAAUAUUAUAUUUUAUCAAGAGAGAACAGAGUGUAAUUUUAUCAUUAAUACCGAUCGAGGCCAAAGAAAGAAGACCCAUAAUCCAUUUCCCACAAGCAUACACAAUGCAGCUGUAAUUUUAUCAUUUACUUUUAUCCCUUGGACCACUGCAUUUUUGUUGAGAGACACAAUAACACAUUUUUAUCUGUCAUUCAACAUUUACAGUAAAGAGAGGGCACAAAACGCAAUUAGAUAAAUUAUGUUUUGCCUGCUAAAAAGAGGCAAAUAACUUUAUUUGCAACAUAAUUAUUUUGGUUUCUAGUGACCCCGGGGCCUUUCGGUUGGUUUGGGAUCGGAAAAUGAACAUCAUAGGGGGGGUUGUGCCCUUAUGGGCAUAUAUAUCUGAUAGCUUCAACUGGCCUUGUUCCUAGAAAGAAAUUGCCAAAGAUAUAAACUUAUUCCAGGCUGAAAGUAGAUGAGAGUCAUAAUGAACAUCAACCUUUGUUCAGUUUGAUUCAAUGCCCCCAUAGUGUUCAUUUCACAGAUCUGAAUGAUUAUAUCCGUUGAAUACAUAAAUUAAUGAAGACAAAUAUGAAACCCAAGAUACAUCUCUGCAUAACAACCCCAACCCUGGUUGCUAUGUUUCCCUUCUUCUAUUCACAUGAGGAUACUGGUUAUAAUUGUCAAACUUGCAACAAGCCCUUUGACACCUAACGUCAAUGGACGAAUUAAAAGUCUCCUUCAAACGUCUAUUUCACAGCAUGAAGCUUAUAAAGGAUGCUGACAACCUUCAGAGUUAGCGACAAAAGAUAAUUAUCAAGGAGAGAUAGUUCCAUGAGAAUUCCAAGGAGUCUGAAUCAAAGACAAAUUGCUCACUCAAGGGUUCUUAUUUUCUUUUAGGUACAAAUCUCUUGAGUGUUGUUAAAGAAACACGUCACUGUCAUUUUGAUUUGCAUUUAACAUUUCACUUUUGUUCUGGAAGGUUUGUUCCGGAAACAUAUCAAAUGAGCAUCAUUUUCUUCUUCGGUGACACAUGGUCGCGAGUACGUGGGUCCAUUUUCAUGCCACUUAGUUGAAAAGUUGGAAAGAAAAAACAUGCCAACAAGAAGAUAGUGAGAGAAGGGGCACUUCAAGCCUUUAACAUGAACAAACAGUAAAUAAAAGAUGUUUCUCCACUCAUAAAAGUGUGUUAGAUAGCAAUAUAACGAAUCACAUCCAAAAUCUUUACUAGGCUCAAACAUAAAGAAGACUCAUUUUUAAGAAAAGAUAAAAAUGGCAUUGUCUGAUAGUAUCCAAUACACGAGAUGGCACUUAAUUUGUACAAGAUCUGUCAAUGCUGACGCACAUUUUCUGAUUAAAAAAAAACUGAUCAGUCAAAAGCAAUGAAGAGAAGUGAUGACAAUGAAUGAUGCUUCCAAUAUUUUCACCCCUUAUAGUGUUCUUCAUGAUUCAGAUAUAUAAUUGGAAAUAGAACAACCCUAUGCCAUACAUUCGUCUAAGUAUGGUGUCUAAUUUUUUGUGUCAGCGGUUGCGAAUGGAGCGUGCAAAAGUCCAAAUUGGCGUCUCUCCAUUUCCACAUAGGAAGGUGACCUUUAUUGACAAAUACCCAAUAUUUGUAGACAUUCCUUAAAUAUCAUAACUUCUUGUUGAUUUGAAAAUCAUUUUUCAACUACCAUGUUUUAAUAAAUAUUUUUUAAAAUGUAUUUUUAUCAAAGUCCACCAUGAUGGAUAAUAUUCACCAUGCAAUAAUUAAUAAAGUACAAACUAAGCGAAAUGAAAAGCAUUUUCUUUGCUUUGAGUUGAUUUUGGUUGCAUUGAGUUGAUUUUGGUUUCAUGGUUUUUUCAACUCUUAUUUUGAUUGGAAGAUGUCAAGAAAAGAAAACAUAAAGAAAAAUUAAAAGGGAAAAAAGAAGAAAAAUAAAAAAAAAUAGAUUUAAAAGUUAAUAAAUUAUUUUUUAUAUUUAUUUUAAUUCAUUUCACUUAUUUUUCUUUUACUAUAUAAAAUUUAAAUAAUUUAAAUUUUAUAAUUAAUUUAAUUACAUUUCAUUUUCUUCUAUAUUUAAAUAUUGGAAAAAUAUUUUACUUAAUAUUUUUUUCUUUAAUUUCUUUGGCAUUUUGGGAACCAAACUUAGCCUUUAAAAUAAAAAACAAAAAAAAAAUGAAAAUAAGGAGGGAAAAGUGAGAAAAGAUAAAAACAAUAUGUAAAGGAUUUGAAAAGUAUUAGUUUGUAAUUACUAUUUGGAUUUCAAUAGUAUUUUAUUUGUCUUUCUAUAUUUCAUGUAAGAGAGAAUUUAAGAUAUUCCCCAAGGCAAAGCAUUAGUUACCUGCAAUCAGUGGUGAUAAGGCUCCAAGCCAAUUUUGGGCCCCAUAUCUUAAGACAGUACAAUUUCCAUUUCAACAUUUCUGAUUUCUCAGAUGUUUCACAUACCACAGAAGAACAUUGUUUGUGAAAAUAUGCAUUUAUGUUGGAUUUUGUAUGCUGUGGGGACUGGGGCAAGGAUCAUAUGGAAGAGUGGUUGACUUUUUCUGUACUUUAACGGUUGAAAUAGGAUAAGCACGGGCAUUUGUGAGGCUUAAUUGAUUUUGAAGCCUGAAAUUGCGUUUCUGUCAUUUUGUCAAAAAAAUGGCAGAUUCCAUACUCAUAUGUUUGGCCUGUGGCCAUGUACAGAUGCCAUUUAGUGACCAGUUUGUAACUGUCAAUCGUUGCGUUUUGACUCUGCCUCAACAACAUCUGCCAUUGACGGGUUUUCAUACUUGCAAAUCAAAUAGUCUUUCGUCCCAUCAGGAAUUUCGGUUUAAAUAUUAUUAAGCAUACGUUUGGCUGACAAUCAUUAUCCAGUUCAUGAUUUGGUUUCUUACCCUUAAUCAAUGGUUUCUAAGUGAAUAUAUGUAGAAGGAAAUCCGAAGUGUAGACAGUAGUAUCGAUAACUCUCAAUAUUCUCUAUAUAAUAGAAUAAACAGCGUCAUAGUGAUCGUCGCCUACAAGCAAGGUACAAAUACCAAAACGAGUGACUCACAUAGACAUCUCCCAACAAGAUGUAGUAGUGACUGACACAUGGACACAAUUAACUCGUAGAAAAGGAUAAGACCAUUGCACAGCAGCUCUUAUUUUACAUACUACUUAUGCUAACCAAAGUCAAUUAGUUGGGAUGGGUGGGAGAUGGAGGUUUGUGCGGUGGCUUGUGGGGCGGAGUUGAUGGCUUCUUUCCAGGAGCUUCUGGCUUUUUCAUCGGAGCUGAAGGAGGCUCAAUCUUAUGAGGCGGCUUGUAUGAGUCUUCUUUACUCUCGACAGGAGGGUGGCCAGGGUUGUGAUCAUAAUGUGGUGGCUUCUCUCCCUUAGGUGGCUUGCCAACUGGGGUUGGUGGCUUGUGUUCAGGAAGUGGUUUCUCUCCCAUGGGAGGUUUAGCAAUUGGGGUUGGUGGCUUGUGUUCUGGGAGUGGCUUCUCUCCCUUGGGAGGUUUAGUAGGUGACUUGUGUUCUGGAGGUGGCUUCUCCACCGGAGGCUUGUGCUCCGGUGGUGGCUUCUUGGUUGGAGGGGGCUUGGGGUAAUCAGCAAGAGAUGGGGUGGUGAGAACCACCAGUCCAAGGAACAACACUAGCAAGUAUGUGGGAGACAUUUUUGAGUUUGGGCUGAUCAGAUGAUGCAAAACUAAAGCAUUACGUGACCUUUUAUAGCAUGUAGCUCCCAAUACCCACUAAGUAUUGUGGGGUCCAUUUGUGCCCUACGGGGUUGAAAACUUAGACAAUUGGGCAAGGACCCACCUGACUAUGGAGGACUAGUGAGGUGUGAUCAUAGCUUUAGGAUUUUUCUUCCUCUGCAGCCGUCGUGCCGUUGGCAUGAUUUUCUUAAUCUUAAAUAAAGGCAUAGUUAUAGAGUUGUUUAAUCUCUAAAUGGGAUUUUAUAUAUAUCUUCAGAUAGCCAUUAAUAUAUUUGAUGAAGAAAGAAAGACAAGUGCAUACAACAUGUAUACGACUAGCUUUCAUGGAGUUCAUUUAUGAUCAGUUUUCCUGUACAUGUAAACCAGGAUCAUAUAUAUGUUUCUGUUCCACAACUAUUUUGGAAUCUUGUUUAUCAGUUUUUAUCAUUAUAAUGUCACAUAGGCUGCCAACUUGGGCGCUAAAAGAACCAGUUGGGCUAGUUCGUUUCAGAAUUUCAAUGUGGAUUCAGGAAUUGUUUUGUAAGAUAUGCGAAAUAGUAGAGGGAUGAAUAGUGUUUCAUUAAUAAAAGUGUCCUGUAAAUUAGAAGGUGUCAUAGAAACUAUAAUCAAUAAAUAACUUUUUUUCCCCACGGGUGGUGUUUCUUGUGGGGAUCAGUGACUGGUUUAGGUUCACCCAAAAUGAGUUCAGACUAAAAUUGGUUUGAGUCAAUGCCGUGUCUCUUUUUUCCAGAAAUCAACUAUUUUAUGCAUUGAAUAAAUCAUACAAAGAAAAUAUGAACGCCCGCAAAACCUAAACCCUGGUUGCUAACUUUCUAUGUUUCAGUUCUAUUCACGCAAGAAUAUUAGUUUAAGUUUGGGAAAAAUGGCAACUUACCUAGUGAUUACUUGGUUUUGGUUUGCGACUAUUUACGCAACCAACCAUGAGUUUGACUUUAACGUCAUGGGUUGAAGCCUCCUACAGGAAGGGAGAAAGCUCCACAGCUAGCUCCAAAAGAGAAUUAUCACAUUGAUAGCUCCAGAGAUUCCCAAGGGGACUGAAUCAAAGACAAGUUCCUCACUUUUUCUUCUUUUGAGGCCAAAUAUGAACCAAGGAUCACACAACCUCAUUCAACUUCAUAAGUUUGAUUUCAUGCAGUUGAACACUGGGUGAAGGCCAUGACAAGAAUUGAUUCAAAAAUUCUAUCACUCUUUUAAGUAAUGGAAGAUUAUUAUCUCUGAUUGGCAUCACAACAGCACAUGCUCCUAGAUCUUUCUAGACACUCCAUGCAAUGAAAGCACAAUGGAUCUUGUAACGAUAGAAACUAAGCCAUGCUACAGUACUAGAUGAUGAGGUAAAACUAGUAGACACGGGUGGCAGCCUAUAUGGGAGGGACACAAGUCUAAUUGAUUUGCAUUUCAGCAUUAUAGAUAGGUAUGUUUUGGAAGAUUUGUUCUGGAAAUACCGCACCAAGUAGGAUUCUUUUUCUCUUUAGUGGGUCCACUUGCAUGCCAAUUAACGAGUUGAAAAGUAUGAGCACCUACCUCGUGCUCGUGGAACCGAAGGUCAGUGAAGUGGGGCUCCUUUUGGCCUCGUGUAAACUUGAUUCAGAAGUGAAGUUAAUAGUCUUCCAUUCAGAUGGAUACAUGGGAAUUUUUCUCUUUUAUUUAUUUAUUUAUUUUUUUUUUGUGUGUGUAUGUCAAAGGAUAAUGAAUGAAGCGCGUUAGCUUGUUUUCUGACUGGAACCGCAGAUGUCCAAAUUGGAGUUCCUUCAUUUCUUACUUAGGAUUGUUACAUGUAUAAACAAGGUAUAAGAAAUAUGCCAACGUGUCUUGAGGAGUUAUUGAUUAGAAAUAACAAGUCACCCGACUGUAGAGUUCCAAGAUUUGAAUCUUCAGACCCUAUAGCAGCCUCUGGGGUACGUGGCAUCCUAUAGCAUAUUAAUGAAGGCUUUUUCGAUUUAGACUUCACAAUACCAAUUAAUAUGUAUGCACAAAAUGGAGAUGACCCCAAAAAAAACAGAAUCGCCAUAGUUUAUGAGGUUAAGGUGAUUCUCCACUUAAUAUCUACAUUAGCUAAUUAUGUAAAUCAAAUGAACUUCUAUUUUUCCUUUUUUUUUUUGGUUUAUGUCAAAUAGUAGCCCAUAAUUAACCCAACCAUUAGCCUGUUUGAAUUGAUUUCACAUGCACAAUGUUGUAGUAGUUCAUAUUUUGAAUUUUAUUUUUACAAAGGUAGUUAAGGAAAAUGAAGUAUAAUAAUUAUAAAAGCAGACUAUAUACACUACAAUAAUUGUUAGAAUGGUAUCUCAAAUUCUAAUUUAAAAUAUUAUUUUUUGUAAAAGAAAUAUUAUAUAGAAUAUUUCCUAAUUUUAUAAAUGAUUAUAAUUAGAUCUUUAUAAAAUAAGGAAAGUUGGUAAGAAUAUCUUUAUAAAUAUUUUAGGUCAUGAGAGAAAGAAAUGGGAUAAAAAUGUGAUGAAGAGGUGAAAUAAGAGAGUUGAUUAGGAUAUAGAUGUGAAGAAGAAAGGGAUUCAAUAUAUAUAUAUCUUUCAAUUACCACAUUAAAACCCUGUGAACCUUUUAUAUGGUUUACUUUAUUUUUAUAUUCCUCCUUUAAUAUAUUUACAUUAAUGCUUCCAUUGGCACAACAAUAACGAAUUACAAAUACAAGCAACAAGUCCCAUGUUUUAUUACCAAAAGCAGGUAAAAUCCACCUAAUAUAUUACAAUAUAUUCAUCCAAUAUUUUAGACCAAUUCUUCACCAUAAAUAUCAUAAUGUGGCUUUUGUUCUUUCUUAAAUUUAAAUUGAAUUGUCUUAUAUCAAUUUGUUUGUGAUUUUUUCAUUAACUUCACUUUCAUUUGGUUAUCUUUGGUUUUUGAAAAGUAUUAAGGAAUUAAUUAACAAAAUAAUGUUAAGAAAAAUAAUUUUCUCUCUUUUGAUUUUGAUUUUGUAGUAGAAAAAUAUAAUUAAAAUUAUUUAAAAAGUAUGUAAUUUUAAAUUAUUUAAUAUUUAGAUAAAAAAAAUAAGUCUAAUGAGUUUAAAAUAACAUAUAAAAAUAAUUUAUUUAUUUUAAAUUUAUUUUUUAUUUUCCAUUAUGUUCUCUUUCUCUUUUACUUUUUCAUAUUUUUUCUUACGAAGAAUCAAACACAACCUCAUAUUAUAUGUCAAGUGUUUGUCUAUAUUUGAGCAAUGUUAGAUACGGCCAUGGAUUCAUCAAACUAAACUGAUUUUAAUAGAUACUUCACAAAUUGAUUUAUACACUAAAUCAUUGGAUAGCAAUGAUGCAUUGGAAUUAAACGUAGGAUGAAGCUCGAAGAACACUGUUUGUGUAACAACAUAUUUAUGAAAUUAUGCAAAGGAUGAGCUUCGGGGUAGUAGUACAAGGUCAUUAAUGGAGAGCCGUGUUAAACCUUGAUUGUGAUUGGAUUCCGUUAUCAGCAACAGCAACCUUGUUUGUAACCUUGAAAGUCAUUCUGUCCACAUCGAAACUCCAAUUUGACGUUUGUAAUUACCAUUCCUGGAGUGUUCCUUGAUUGAAAUUUAAAUAAUAAUUGCGGCCCACAAGGAAUAUUUUCGAUUCUGUGGGAAUUUGACAAGGUUUGUUAGAGAAGACUGGUGACAUGUUGACUUCAAUGGUUCAAAUAGGAGACGUAUGUGGAUUUGGGGGGUUUAAUUGAAACUGAGUCCCUAUGGCUUUUUAAUAUUUGCAUUGAGCAGUCUCCAUGUGACUUCCUAAUUCCCACCAACCCUCCUGUCCAUGCUGUGAAACUAAAUUGUAAUUUAUCAGCCUUUGUCAAUGGUUUCUAAAUUAAAGAUAUAGACCAUGCAUGUACUUUAAUAAAAGCAAAUCUAAAGUGUAGAUAGCAGCAAUGGUGACACCCAAUAUUCUCCAUAAAAUAGAAUUAGAAUAAGCAGUGUUACAUUGUUCAUGAUCACCUACAAGCAUACAAGAACUUCCAUGAAUAACUCAUAGCAAUUGCCAACAGGGCGUCGUAGAGACUCAUACAUAGAACACUAUCCACCCAGAGGAAAGGACAAGACCAGUGCGCUGCAGCUCUUAUUUUUCACAUGUAUACCACCACUCGUAAUAACCAAAUUCACUCAGUUGGGAUAGGUGGGAGAUGGUGGUUUGUGGGGUGGCUUGUGGGGAGGAGUUGGAGGAGGCUUUAUUUUCUGAGGCGGCUUGUAUGAGUGUGCAGGAGGAUGCCCGGGAGUGUGACCAUAAUGUGGUGGCUUCUCUCCCGUAGGUGGUUUGCCAAAUGGGCUUGGUGGCUUCUCUCCCUUAGGAGGUUUACCAAUUGGGGUUGGUGGCUUGUGUUCUGGGAGUGGUUUCUCUCCCUUGGUAGGUUUGCCAAUUGGGGUUGGCGGCUUAUGUUCUGGGAGUGGCUUCUCUCCCUUGGGAGGUUUGCUAAUUGGGGUUGGCGGCUUAUGUUCUGGGGGCGGCUUCUCUCCCUUGGGAGGUUUGCCAAUUGGAGUUGGCGGCUUAUGUUCUGGGAGUGGCUUUUCUCCCUUGGGAGGCUUGCCAAUUGGGGUUGGCGGCUUAUGUUCUGGGGGUGGCUUCUCUCCUUUAGGAGGUUUGCCAAUUGGAGUCGGCGGCUUAUGUUCUGGAAGUGGCUUUUUUCCCUUGGGAGGUUUGCCAAUUGGGGUUGGCGGCUUAUGUUCUGGGGGUGGCUUCUCUCCCUUGGGAGGUUUGCCAAUUGGAGUCGGCGGCUUAUGUUCUGGGAGUGGCUUCUCUCCCUUGGGAGGUUUUGUUGGUGGCUUGUGUUCUGGAGAUGGCUUCUCCCCUGGAGGCUUGUGCUCCGGAGGUGGCUUCUGAAAUGGCGGGGGCUUGGGGUAAUGAGCAAGAGAUGGAGUACUG